rnacentral:rRNA from 1 species
CAGCCGCCGCGGGAAAACGGAGGGUGCAAGCGUUAUCCGGAUUUAUUGGGUUUAAAGGGUCCGUAGGCGGAUCUGUAAGUCAGUGGUGAAAUCUCACAGCUUAACUGUGAAACUGCCAUUGAUACUGCAGGUCUUGAGUAAAUUUGAAGUGGCUGGAAUAAGUAGUGUAGCGGUGAAAUGCAUAGAUAUUACUUAGAACACCAAUUGCGAAGGCAGGUCACUAAGAUUUAACUGACGCUGAUGGACGAAAGCGUGGGGAGCGAACAGGAUUAGAUACCCCCGUAGUCCCUGUCUCUUAUAC